GGCCGAGACUGGCAGCAGACAGGGAUUAGGGUAGGGAUGUGACAAGGUGAGGAAGGGAGAGGGCAGAGAUGCUCACCUUGGAGAUAGCCAGAGGGACAGGGAACCUGGGGACAGGGGAUGGUGCCAGCUGUGGCCCUGGCUUCUGGGGCCUCCAGGAAGGGAAGAAGGAACCGGGGCAGAGCCCACAGCCAGGAGCUCACCUUCUCCAGGUUGGUGUUGUCUAGCCAGAGGGUCUCCAGGUUGCUUAUGGAACCACAGAGAACAGUCCCGUGACAUUUGCCCACUUCCCUGAGGACACUGUGGAGCAGAAGGCAGAAAGCGUGGGCAGAAUUAUGCCUCACACGGAGAGAUGUCGCCACAAUGAACGAGCAGGGCUUCUGCAAGAUCGUGGGCCGCUCUAAGGAUAUGAUCAUCCGGGGUGGUGAGAACAUCUACCCCGCAGAGCUCGAGGACUUCUUUCACACACACCCGAAGGUGCAGGAAGUGCAGGUGGUGGG
rnacentral:sRNA from 1 species